GACGAACGCUGGCGGCGUGCCUAAUACAUGCAAGUCGAGCGGACUUUCAAGAAGCUUGCUUUUUGAAAGUUAGCGGCGGACGGGUGAGUAACACGUGGGCAACCUGCCUGCAAGACGGGGAUAACUCCGGGAAACCGGGGCUAAUACCGGAUAAUAUCUUCCUUCGCAUGAAGGAAGGUUGAAAGGCGGCGCAAGCUGCCGCUUGCAGAUGGGCCCGCGGCGCAUUAGCUAGUUGGUGAGGUAACGGCUCACCAAGGCGACGAUGCGUAGCCGACCUGAAAGGGUGAUCGGCCACACUGGGACUGAGACACGGCCCAGACUCCUACGGGAGGCAGCAGUAGGGAAUCUUCCGCAAUGGACGAAAGUCUGACGGAGCAACGCCGCGUGAGCGAAGAAGGUCUUCGGAUCGUAAAGCUCUGUUGUCAGGGAAGAACACGUACCGUUCGAACAGGGCGGUACCUUGACGGUACCUUACCAGAAAGCCACGGCUAACUACGUG
rnacentral:rRNA from 1 species